CACGUAGGGUGCGAGCGUUGUCCGGAAUUAUUGGGCGUAAAGAGCUCGUAGGCGGUGUGUCGCGUCGGCCGUGAAAAACCUGGGGGCUUAACUCUGGGCUUGCGGUCGAUACGGGCAUCACUGGAGUUCGGGCAGGGGGAGACUGGAAUUCCUGGUGUAGCGGUGAAAUGCGCAGAUAAUCAGGAGGAACACCGGUGGCGAAGGGCGGGCAUCCCUUGGGACUGUAACUGACAUGAG
rnacentral:rRNA from 1 species